AAAGAUUUUUAAAGCAACUUGUGAUUCAGAUAUAAUCUUCAGUGAGUUUUCACCUGCAUGGAAAGUAACUAGUUACAUUUACUCCAUUUACUGCAAGUACCAUUAAUCUGCAUGUUAUAUUCAAGUUGUUUACAAAUGUUCAGGUUGAACAUUUGUAAAUUAUUUAGAGGAAAGCAUGUUACUCAGUUAAAUGUUAAAUUGCAUGCAUAAAGGAGUAAAAACAUGUAUGCAUGAAAGACAGGAUAAAAAUUAAACUGUAAGUUUAUGUCUCAUUAAAAUUAUAUAAAAUGUCUCCCAAAUAUUCACGAUGUCAUUUUCUAACAUGUUUUAUUUUUUGUUGCAUUUUUGUUCAUAAAAGUUGCUCAUUAAUUAAAAGAAAAAGUUCAACAUUAUCAAGGUAACCGUUUACUUGAGUACUUCAAGUUUUCACCUGUGUGUAUAAAUCAGUAUUCAAUCAAUAUUAUGAUGCCAAUCAAUUUUAGCUGCAUAUUUUGCAUGAAUGCAUUUAUAAAUGUUGCAUCUUUUCAUCUACUUUCAGGAUAAGUCAGAUUAGAAAGUUUAAUUUGUAAAUUUGCUGUAAAAAGUUUUCUAUUGCCCUUUCUGGUGUUGAGCAGUUUCAUGCCAUUAGUGGCGACUCCUACUGUUUGGAAAGAGAACUGCAACUAUCGGAACAGAAGCAACAUUUAAAGUAUUUCCUUUAUUUAAUCAGGUAAACCCCGUUGAGAUCUAGAUCUCAUUUUCAAGAGGGACCUGAGUCAGGUUUCCUCAUCAGUCCAGUUUGGUUUAUUUGAUCCUGAUCAGAUCGAUUUGUUAUUCCUGAAGAAAUGUCUCAGAAGAACAGAAGCAUGUGGGUUGAAGGAUUUUUAGCAAUAAUUAUUCUCACUUUCCAAACAUCACUGAAUUUAAAUCACACCUUAAAUUUAUUGAAUAUUAGCAGCUUAAUCAGAUGAAUAGCCUGAACGGGUUGGGUUUUGAGACUAACUGGUAUUUGCUGCUCCUUUAUGUUUAAACGGAUCGACAGAAGCAGAGAUUACCAGCAGCUGCAGCAAAAUUAAACGGGUUUUUGUGAAGUAAAUCCAUAAGAUCAGGUUCUGGUCAGCCGGAGUGAGGACACUUCAUCCAGCCCAGCUGCAUCACUCCGAGUCAGAACAGAAACGGAUUCGGAUCCCUGCUCUAAAACAAACGCUGCAGGCUGGCAGCUGGCCGCUUUCUGUCUCCUCUGAGACAAAGAGCACAAAGACAGGGAUUGUGUGGGAUUGGGGUAAAUAGUUGUAGCCACUGGCCACCCGUUCGGCGCCUCAUGUUGGAGAACGCGGCUCUGCGUUGGCAGGCGGAGCGGGACAGAUGCCGACCGGGUCCGACUCGUCGGAGAGGCCGCAGCGCGUGUGACUGAAACAAACUCCAACUGAAGGAACGACUCGUCCUUGAUCUGGAAUGGGCCACACCCAGAUUAACGCCUGGCAGUGUUCACAUAAAACGUGCAUGAAUCGGUUCCUUCUCCUCCCUGCCGGAUCGUCUGACUCACUUUGACUCAGACGAUUGUUGAAUUUUAGAAAUUCUUCACAGAAAAAUCAGACUGAAAGUGUUGCAGAUAAGGAAGGCAAAGAUAAGAACCUGUUAAUGUUUGCUGGAGAGACUCCAGAGCUAAAGCAUUAAAACGACUUAAACUUUAUCCAACAAUCACGAAGCCAAACGUGUUCUGUUGGGAUUUUAACUGACAGUAGUAAAUAGCUGCAAAAUGAAAUGAAAAGUACAAACAAACAAGAAAAACCUGAAGUUAACUGACAUUUACUCUGCCGAAGUUCUGCAGAACGAGCUGCAGGUUUAAGGCUCCAGGAAGAUUUAAAAGAUAAAACAUUUUGGUGGUUUGAUGUUCAAAGUAACUGCACUGCAAAAACACGAAACAUUACCAAGUACAAAUAUCUUACUACACUCAAAGACAAAACUUGUAACUGUCCAGCAAGGUAAUGGAGCUCGUUAUAAAUCAAGAAUGGUUUAAUAUUGAUGAAAAAAUUUUCAUUAGCAGAUGUUUUCACUAAUAAGACAUUUUUCCCCAGUUAUAAGUGAAACAAAGGUGAGAUCAAGAAACUGCAAAAGCACGCCACACUUUUAAGAUUUAAUUUCUUAAAUUUAAUUUCUUAAAGGCACAACUAGUAUUUUUCUGUGCUAAUCUGUUACAUGAGGGGUGCUCAACGUGUGGCCCGAGGGCCAUUUUUGGCCCUUGAAACGAUUCUGAUCAGCACCACGACCACAAGUCAAGAACGGUAAAACGUUUGGCAAAACAGAAACAGAAGAUCUCAAAAAAAUUGGAAAUUGGACUGUUUCUGUGUUAAGUGGAAAAGCAGACAAAGUCUCUCCUGUUUUGGAUCUUUAACGUCGGAUCUUAGAUUUCAUAAAACUACAGAGUAGGUAAAACUGAAAAGAGAAAAAUCAUGUUAAACUUAUUUUUUGUGUUUAAUACAUUCUGUGGCCAGCAAGUAGAUUAAAUAUGCCAUUUAUGGCCAAAAAAAAAAAAAGAAGUUAGACCCCAUGAUAGUGGAUUUUAUGCACUAUGACGCAUAAAAUCCAAACUCGUUAGGCUCUGCAGGUGUGCACAACGCUGUAAAUACUUUUCUGAGGUAAUAUUUGUCUUUCAUUUUGAGCGUUCUGCUCAAACCUGAAAAACUUCUGCAGUUAAUGAAAGAAAAUCUUCGAAGCUGCCAGGUUUUUAAUAACUGGUUCGGCUGCAUCGUUUGGAAACUUUCUGUUUAAGUUAGCCGGUUAAAUCUCUGGCUGGAUCUGAAAACACUCAUUAUAAAUCCCAAAAACCUGAUUCAGGCUCCACACAUUGUUGUUUUCAGGCUCCAAUCAAAGAUGGCUGCAGUUUUUCCACAAGCACAGUAAAAAGAAAAAAAAGGCAGAGACGAGGGAAUGAUAAUAAAUCCCAUGUGUCGCUUAUGAAACUUCAGAUUUCACGAUGUUUAGCUGCAACUGCUUUGUAAAUGUGGAAACGGGAGAAUCUGGUGCUGGGGAGCAAUCAAGCUGCGGUUGAGAGAGAAGGCUGGCGGCCGGGCGUUCACACGCAAAUGCUGCAGCGCACUGGCAUCGCACACCGACACGCAGGAGGCCCUGGAGGCAGCGGAGAGCCCGGCACUGACGAGUCCGGCCCGCAGAUCAACAGGAUGCAGCAGUAAAACUCCAGGAUCAUUCGCACGGCGUCAGGUGAGCCCAGAGAAACGCCGCUGCUGCAUCAACUUUAAUACGCUUCCUGUCAUUGUCUUGCUGCGCCGGCCGCGCCUGGGUGGUGGCAAAGAAAAACGUUUGCUUUUUCCCCACACAAUCUGCCAGUAACAGUUUUCUUUUAAAGAAAAAAAAAAUUAGAAAGAAUGAACGAACCAUGGAUGGAUGAACAAGACGACUACAAAACAUUUCUGUCAUGUUAAAUAUGAGUCAACAAAAGGCCGAAGUGUUGGAUUAUUAAAGCGGCAGUGUCAUGAAAAAUAAAAAAGUUUUCAGAUUUCUAUCAUAUUAUAAACAAACCUGGAGUCUUGCUUUGAUUCUUUCAUGCAUGUUUUAUACAUGGCAACCAUGGAGAUUUAGGGAUAAAAAUGCCUGGGUGGCCUUAGCCCCACCUACAAGGACAAAGCUCCUCCUCAGAUCAUUCAGACUAGCCAGCAGCAAUUAGCAAACACCUGCUGAAGCUGUUGAGCUCAAUACAGGCGCUACUUCUGGUGAAACGUUGCUAAGGGGUUAAUAGAGGAGCCAUGUUGGAAUGACUUCCUGAAGGUGGAGAUUCUUAAAGAGACAGAGGCCCAAUUUCAAGGCUUCAACUUUGACAAUAAUUGCAGAAUUAUUGUGAUAAAUAUUGCUUUUGAGAUUUUCUUCUAGUAAUACAUUAAUCCAAAUUCACCAUCUCAAAGACAAACUUUGAUUUUACAAAGAACUCAACACUGGAACUGGGAGAUAUUUUAAAUAAUCAAAACAAACAAAUAAAAUAAAACGAACAGAUUAUGUCUCUGAGCGACAUUACCCUUUAAAAAAAAACUGAAUAAAAAAUGAGGUCAUUGUUAUUCAUUAUGUGAUUAAUUGAUUGAUUGAUUUUGCGACAGGCCAACAUUAUAACCCGUUAAAGGACUGCAGAUACAAACUGGCUUAAAAGCUACAAUCACAUGACAUUAAUGUUUGAGCUGAACAUUGUCCCCUCCUAAAUAAUUAUUAUUACAGUAUUUUUAUUACAACUGAAGCCAAAAUAUUUACUUUACAGUUAUAUAAAAUGGCCGUGCCUGGAAAUGGAAACACCGGCCCUUUAAAGGAACCACAUUAAACCCGUCAAACUUGGACCUGGAUCCCAGUUUUCUGUCGUCUCAUUACAAGCAAACAAAAAAAAAAAAAAAAACAGACAAUGCAGGACAUAUGAGCUGGAGGAACACCCGGUUUGGAUCAUCAGAACCGGAAACCGAAUCGGGUUGGAAACAGAGUAAAAGAUGUGAACAAGAUGGAGGCGGUGAGGGAGAAGAGCCCGUCCAUCUUAAAGCCAUUCAUUUCCUUCAGAGUGACUCAUCGAGAGCUUGGCGAGCUGCGAAAUGGAAACUCCACAAACACACACCAGCAGUCCAGCAGGCUGCCAGAACCUGCGAUCGGCACCGGGUUCUGCUCCGCUGCGGCCCGGCUCUGUCAUUACUCGCUCCCCAACGGGGGCCAACAUGGCCGCCCUCCAUCCUGAUGUUUACGGGCCGCCACAUGUGGCUCCUGUUAGAGGCUGGAGGCGCAAACAGCCUUCAGAGGCUCACAGCCUGAGCUGGAGCGAUUCAUCACGAGUUACCAUGAAUAAUCACAAUUAAUCGAUUGAUUACCAACUAAUUCAGGAAUUAACUGUUAACUGCAAGAUACAGCCUAAAAAAAACUCUCAAACACCAUCCUCAGGCUAAACUAAUGAACAACAUUCUGCAUUUAAGAUUUAAAACCAUUAUUUGUAAUAAAACAAAAAUAAAAUCUAUAAAGCAUCCAUGGUUGAAUAAUGGUCGCUUGCACUGGUGGUUCAAACAAUUGUGUUGAACACAGCAAGAGCUACAAGAAAAUAAAUAAAAAGCAGCUUUUCCUCUUACCUACACAAAAAGUUUACUUUAGUGUGACUUUAGGUCUUUCUAAAGUGAAAAAGAAAUCUAGAUAAAUACCAUUAAUUGAUGUAAAAACUGUCUUUUCUACCAGUUUAAUUUAAUUUAAUUUCCUAAUGAUUACGCAUACUUUCUCUUAUGUAUUUGGUUCACUAAAAAUAAAUAUUACUAUAAAUACUCGUUAAAAGAAAUUGCUCCAGUUCACAAUUAGAGUGAAACUGCAGAGGAGGUUCUUCUGAUGAAGAAGUUUCCCUUCGGAGGUUUUUCUGGGAGUAAAAUCCCUGCAGACACACGUCUUGCAGAAGAGCCGAUGUCUCCUUGUUGGUCAGGAAAUAAACUGGGAUUCCCUGCUAGGAGCUGCAGAGUCUGACUACGAUGAGGAAUCCGGAAAAAAAACAAUUCAAAGAAAGAAGUUUCAAUGCAGGGAUCAAAAUCUUUUGAUAUUUAACAUUACUGUUGUGUAAUUUAUGAACAAAAGGCUGCUUGUUCAGACCUGAUGUUCUCCAGCUCAGGAAACGUUGAGUAACAUGGAACGCUACAGGCUCGGUUCAUGCUCCAACACACAAAUCAUGAGGCUGAUUUAGCUCUCAGGCAUUUCAGCAAGUUUCACCAAACCUUGAUCAUUAACUGCUCCUGCACACCUGGAUAAAAUAAACCGAUGCACCCAAAACCUGCAGGACUGCAGCUGCGUUUCCACCAACCGUAUAACUGCACAAACUAGAAAUACAAAAACAUGUUUCAAAAAUGGGUGUAGUUCACGGGGAAACAUUUUUCGCAUUCCAUAAGUCAUGUGAUCAAAAACAGGAAGUUACUACUGGCAGAAAUGACAAAACAGGAAGUAGUUGGACGAUGAUGGCUUUUUAAUGAAUUAUAAAAAGCCAAUAUAAAUUUAUUCAUAUUUGAUUUUAACUGCAUUUAUUAAAUGGGAACACUGCAAUUACAUUUUUUUUUUCCAAAUAUCGACAAAGUUUUUCACAUAUUUGUAAGGGAAGCGCAGCUACAAGGACUCAAUAACUGGGGUCAAAGUUUGCACAGGUUUCACCAACUCAAAUUUAAAAUUUAAGAUUAUUAUAAAUGACAUUUAAGACCUGCAUCUCCACAGAAUGUAUAAACUUUAUCCAGCCAACUGGAGAUAAAAUUGCACUUACCUCUAAUAGACGGAAAAAUCUAGCUAUCUUACCAGCUAGCAAGGGCAGAAUGAGCUGUUUUAAGGACUCAUUAAAACUCACUUUAUAUACAAAUUAGCUGCUGCUGGCUACGCCCCCAACUCAACAUUUACACAUGGAAACCGCUGCAAAAAGGUGCACAAUUAUACAAGCCUAUGUCUUUGCAAAGCAUCAGUAGAGCCUCCUGCACAAACUAGAAUGCAGAAAGUUUUCUGGAUGGAAAGUCAGCAACAAAACACCUGUUUUUUCCAGCAGACAAAAAGGUUUUUGUACAGCGCGUACAAGAAGCUGACCAAAUGUGCUGGAGGCCAGUUUGGGUUGCUAGGCAAUGGUCUGGGCUUCUGCAGUUGCUAGGCAAUAAUGCAGCUCCUCCUGAUUUGUGAUGUUACAUUCCAGAUGUUUUUGGAAUGGCUCAUUUUCCAAUUCCAAAACAUAUUAUCAAAAACUGGCUUUUUAAAGUGCUUGUUCUGUUUUUAGAAGUAGUUGAAACUCAAAUGAAAUUAUUAAAACAUCCAAAAUGUGAAUUCUUUAAUUUAACUUUGCAUACGUCUCCUUUAACUUGUGAUUUGUACUGGAAGGUUAGAGGUCUGAUUCAGGCAAAAUGUACCUGCAGGACCUGCAUACAGUCAAGCUUCCCAGGUUUUACAGUUUAAAUCCAGAUCAGCCAGACGAAGCCGGGAGACAUCCAGGCAGACUAAUGGAGAACGCGAAACUAAAAAAUGAAAGUGCCUGCAUCUCAAAGAUAAUUCAGCUCUGAAUCAUUUUUCCAACAAGCUGUCUGGUAUUUUCUGGCCCCCCGGAGUGUCGUGAUUCAGUUUACAUGACUCCCAGAUAAAAGAGCUCUGAUCUUCCCCGCCAUGACUCACCCUGACAGACAAUUGUCCACUGACACAAUCCAGGCUGAGAUCACAGCAAGAGAAGAAAUGUGAUCAAAUGGCAUGAAGAAAAGCUGCAGCUGGGUGAAGAGAAGCAGCUCUGGCUCUAACCACUGAUCACCAUUAUGACAUACUGGGCCACCAUCAUGUAAUGUUACCUCCGUUAAUGUCAUUAGUUCCAGCAGCUCUGUUCCUGCUGGGCGGAAAGCAGAGCUGCAGCGAUGAUCACUGGAGGACGAAAGCAGCGGAGUGACGCUCUGUUACGAUGCUGAAGCAGCAGGAAGGAGCUCCAAUAUGGUCACAAAUUAUUAUUCAUAUGCAUUUAACGUACAACAGAUCAAUUAAAAGAUGGACACAACAGAAAGCGUUUGAAAUUUUCCACUCAGAAACUGAAGCUUCCUUCGAUCACAAUGAAACGUUUGUGGAUGUAAAAAUGAUGAUUUAACUGAACAGAGUUAAAUUUGCAUAUAUUGCGCCUGUUGGCGCAUAAAACAUUUGCAAACCAAACUGACCUACUUUUUGCUUGCAGAAGGUAAUCCCAACUCCAAGAGUGAUGGCGGAUUGUUCCAGAAGGAAACCGAUCACUUAACCUCACCAUCGUUUUAAAACAUACAGCGUGGCGCAGGGGGUCAGCACGCCCCCUUUGGAGGCCUUAGUCCUCGACGCGGACGUUGCGGGUUCCACUCCCGGUGACCUUUGCCGCAUUUCAUCCUCCCUCUCCUCGCCCGCUUUCCUGUCUGCCUACUGUCGCAAGAAAUAUGAGCCACUAGCACCGCAAAACUCUUAACUCUCAAAAGAACAUACAACGUGCAUUCACAGUUUAAAAGCAAAUUAAAACAUUCAUGAGAAUCCAAGAAUUAAAACUCUAAGCCUCCUAAUGUUUGUCGUUUUCCAGCUGCUGCAGCUGAAUAAAGCAACGUUUCGUUCUUUAACAAGCUGCUGCUGACGGAUGGAUCUGCUGCUGUCGUCGAGUUUUCAGACUCUACAAACAGCUGAAGGCCAAAAUGUUCAGCGCCAAAUCCAGAGCAGAUUUCCAUCAACUCUGAACUGAAACGCUGCUAAUGGUGCCCGGCAGGACGAGGGGGCCCAGGCCCCCGUUUAAACUUCCACCGGCCCUCUGAUGUAAAGACAAACACAUCUUCCUUUUCUCCAUUUUAGGAAAGAAUCUAAAGCGUUUUAUCUGAGUUACUCCAUAAAUCCUCCUGAAGGCCCUAAAA